CCUAACACAUGCAAGUCGAAUGGUAACAGGAAACAGCUUGCUGUUUCGCUGACGAGUGGCGGACGGGUGAGUAAUGUCUGGGAAACUGCCUGAUGGAGGGGGAUAACUACUGGAAACGGUAGCUAAUACCGCAUAACGUCGCAAGACCAAAGAGGGGGACCUUCGGGCCUCUUGCCAUCAGAUGUGCCCAGAUGGGAUUAGCUAGUAGGUGGGGUAACGGCUCACCUAGGCGACGAUCCCUAGCUGGUCUGAGAGGAUGACCAGCCACACUGGAACUGAGACACGGUCCAGACUCCUACGGGAGGCAGCAGUGGGGAAUAUUGCACAAUGGGCGCAAGCCUGAUGCAGCCAUGCCGCGUGUAUGAAGAAGGCCUUCGGGUUGUAAAGUACUUUCAGCGGGGAGGAAGGGAGUAAAGUUAAUACCUUUGCUCAUUGACGUUACCCGCAGAAGAAGCACCGGCUAACUCCGUGCCAGCAGCCGCGGUAAUACGGAGGGUGCAAGCGUUAAUCGGAAUUACUGGGCGUAAAGCGCACGCAGGCGGUUUGUUAAGUCAGAUGUGAAAUCCCCGGGCUCAACCUGGGAACUGCAUCUGAUACUGGCAAGCUUGAGUCUCGUAGAGGGGGGUAGAAUUCCAGGUGUAGCGGUGAAAUGCGUAGAGAUCUGGAGGAAUACCGGUGGCGAAGGCG
rnacentral:rRNA from 1 species